UCUAAUUAAGAUUUUGAGUAAAUUAAAUUUACUUUCUUUUAUUAGCUUGCAGUAUAACAUGGAGUUUUGAAGGUGGAAUUUUAGAAUUAAUUUGAUUUUUUGCAGUUAGUAAUGAUUUGGAGUUUAAAAAUUUAAAUUUAUGGAAUAGGAUUAGAUACCCUAUUACUUUAAUUGAGGUUGCUUUAGGGUAGUAAAAGUGUUCUUCAAACCCAAAGAUCUUGGCGGCAUUUUAACCUUGCAGGGGAGCUUGUCUUGUAAUCGAUAAUCCUCGUAAUAUCUUACUUUAUUUUAUGAUUUGUAUACCUCCGUUGUCAGAUCACUUUUAAAGGAUGUCUUCAAUAAAGAUAUUGCUUUGACUUCAGGUCAAGGUGCAGUUUAUAGUAAAGAAUUGAUGAGCUACAAUUAGAUUUAUUAAUAUGGAUUUUAGUUGAAAUACUGAGUUGAAGGUGGACUUGCAAGUAAUAGUUAAUAGAGUGUAAUUAUGAAUUUGGCUAUAGAAUGUGUACACAUCGCCCGU
rnacentral:rRNA from 1 species